UACGGAGGAUGCAAGCGUUAUCCGGAAUGAUUGGGCGUAAAGCGUCCGCAGGUGGCUAUGUAAGUCUGCUGUUAAAGAGUGAGGCUCAACCUCAUAAAAGCAGUGGAAACUACAUGGCUAGAGUGCGUUCGGGGCAGAGGGAAUUCCUGGUGUAGCGGUGAAAUGCGUAGAGAUCAGGAAGAACACCGGUGGCGAAAGCGCUCUGCUAGGCCGCAACUGACACUGAGGGACGAAAGCCAGGGGAGCGAACGGG
rnacentral:rRNA from 1 species